GGACUCGUGGUGUAGCCCGGUUAACACGCCUCCCUGUCACGGAGGAGAUCGUGGGUUCAAAUCCCAUCGAGUCCGCAA
rnacentral:tRNA from 1 species